UACGAAGGGGGCUAGCGUUGCUCGGAAUCACUGGGCGUAAAGGGUGCGUAGGCGGGUCUUUAAGUCAGAGGUGAAAUCCUGGAGCUCAACUCCAGAACUGCCUUUGAUACUGAAGAUCUUGAGUUCGGGAGAGGUGAGUGGAACUGCGAGUGUAGAGGUGAAAUUCGUAGAUAUUCGCAAGAACACCAGUGGCGAAGGCGGCUCACUGGCCCGAUACUGACGCUGAGGCACGAAAGCGUGGGGAGCAAACAGGG
rnacentral:rRNA from 1 species